rnacentral:rRNA from 1 species
GGCCCGCUUGCGGGUACUCGAGUGGCGAACGGGUGAGUAACACGUGGGUAACCUGCCCCCAUCUCUGGGAUAACCGUUGGAAACGGCGGCUAAUACCGGAUACGACCUUCUUUCGCAUGAUUGAGGGUGGAAAGUUUUUGCGGUUGGGGAGGGGCCCGCGGCCUAUCAGCUUGUUGGUGCGGUGAUGGCGCACCAAGGCUUUGACGGGUAGCCGGCCUGAGAGGGCGGUCGGUCACAUUGGGACUGAGAUACGGCCCAGACUCCUACGGGAGGCAGCAGUGGGGAAUUUUGCACAAUGGGCGGAAGCCUGAUGCAGCGACGCCGCGUGAGGGAUGACGGCUUUCGGGUUGUAAACCUCUUUUAUCCACCACGAAGGCCAGGUAUUCGCCUGGUUGACGGUAGUGGUUGAAUAAGCGCCGGCUAACUACGUGCCAGCAGCCGCGGUAAGACGUAGGGCGCGAGCGUUGUCCGGAUUUAUUGGGCGUAAAGGGCUCGUAGGCGGCCCGCUGCGUCUGCCGUGAAAGGCCUCGGCUUAACCGGGGUUUUGCGGUGGAUACGGGCGGGCUUGAGGCAAGUAGGGG